GGGCGCAAGCCUGAUGCAGCCAUGCCGCGUGUAUGAAGAAGGCCUUCGGGUUGUAAAGUACUUUCGGCGGGGAGGAAGGGAGUAAAGUUAAUACCUUUACUCAUUGACGUUACCCGCAGAAGAAGCACCGGCUAACUCCGUGCCAGCAGCCGCGGUAAUACGGAGGGUGCAAGCGUUAAUCGGAAUUACUGGGCGUAAAGCGCACGCAGGCGGUUUGUUAAGUCAGAUGUGAAAUCCCCGGGCUCAACCUGGGAACUGCAUCUGAUACUGGCAAGCUUGAGUCUCGUAGAGGGGGGUAGAAUUCCAGGUGUAGCGGUGAAAUGCGUAGAGAUCUGGAGGAAUACC
rnacentral:rRNA from 1 species